UUGGAGCCUUAGGUUUCGUUAAUAUGAAGUUUAAGCUAUAAGCUGAAAGGAGAUACAAAGAAAAUGAACUCGUCUUCGUAAAGACUAACUUUUCGUCACAGCUAUCUCUCUCUCCAUCUCUCUCUCCGUAUAUAUUUUUGUGUGUGUUCUUUUUCAGACUUCCUCUUUCUUUAUAUAGGCAUUCGUUGCGUGGAUGCCGCUUGGUUUAUUCAUUAUUGUCUGACUCGGAACAGUGAUUGGCGGAGCUGUUGAUACCUACGCUCGGUGCAAUCGUAAGGGAUUGGGUUCUUCUCGUUUCUGACACUCGAUUGCGCGUGUCAGAUCGUCCUGACAGAUUGGUAAGUCGGCUAUCGUGACGCGACCAGGUUUGUAAUGGGCCACGCUUCUUUCUGGGUUUCUCUAAAGUUGUUGGACCGAGUCGACUCUUGGGCUUUGGUAUUAAUCGGGCCCAUAUCCAACAUUUAUAUCUAGCUAGGAUAUAAGAGAUGGUUUAUCUACAUGUAGACCACUACUUAAUACUGCACGUAUAUCAGACCUUCUUCUUAUCUGUAGAUGGGCCUGGGCUCUAAAUGAAUAAAUAAAGCCCAUACGAAAUAAUAAAAGGUUUCCCUGAUUUAUACUGACAGUGUUCUGAUUCCUGAAUCAUCCACGAUUGAAGAAGAAAUGGAGAAAGUGACGAAGAAUUCCAAUUCCGAGACGAAACAUCUUCCUCCUCCAAACCAUCACGACGGGAAUGUGAAACAGCUCAAAGAGUGUUCUUCUCUCUAUUUGUCUUUACAGGAUUGUCUUGUUGAUAGCAAUAGGGACUAGAAACCUUGUCAGAAACACGUUCAAGCUUUGAAGGCAUGCCGUUAAAGGAGAACGAAGAAAUGAUAGAGAUGAUGAAAAGCCACUCCUUGAUUACGAAGUAGUGAUUGGUUACUUCUUAUACGAAAACCUUACAGCUUUGUGAAACGGUUUCUUAUGAUUCUUCUUGUUUUGCGGGUUGCAAAAUGCACAAAUUUUCUUCCUACAAUGUAAUUCAAUAAAAGCAAAUUUCACUCCAAGCAAUUUGAAUCUUGUUUUUUUUUUUGUGUGUUCUUGCUGGUAGGAUUCGGUUCAUUUGCAGAGAAUUUUUU